rnacentral:rRNA from 1 species
GCUUGCUUGGUGGAUCAGUGGCGAACGGGUGAGUAACACGUGAGCAACCUGCCCUGGACUCUGGGAUAAGCGCUGGAAACGGCGUCUAAUACUGGAUAUGAGCUCUCAUCGCAUGGUGGGGGUUGGAAAGACUUUUUCGGUUUGGGAUGGGCUCGCGGCCUAUCAGCUUGUUGGUGAGGUAAUGGCUCACCAAGGCGUCGACGGGUAGCCGGCCUGAGAGGGUGACCGGCCACACUGGGACUGAGACACGGCCCAGACUCCUACGGGAGGCAGCAGUGGGGAAUAUUGCACAAUGGGCGCAAGCCUGAUGCAGCAACGCCGCGUGAGGGAUGACGGCCUUCGGGUUGUAAACCUCUUUUGGUAGGGAAGAAGCCUUCGGGUGACGGUACCUGCAGAAAAAGCGCCGGCUAACUACGUGCCAGCAGCCGCGGUAAUACGUAGGGCGCAAGCGUUAUCCGGAAUUAUUGGGCGUAAAGAGCUCGUAGGCGGUCUGUCGCGUCUGCUGUGAAAUUCCGAGGCUCAACCUCGGGCUUGCAGUGGGUACGGGCAGACUAGAGUGCGGUAGGGGAGAUUGGAAUUCCUGGUGUAGCGGUGGAAUGCGCAGAUAUCAGGAGGAACACCGAUGGCGAAGGCAGAUCUCUGGGCCGUUACUGACGCUGAGGAGCGAAAGGGUGGGGAGCAAACAGGCUUAGAUACCCUGGUAGUCCACCCCGUAAACGUUGGGAACUAGUUGUGGGGUCCUUUCCACGGAUUCCGUGACGUAGCUAACGCAUUAAGUUCCCCGCCUGGGGGAGUACGGCCGCAAGGCUAAAACUCAAAGGAAUUGACGGGGACCCGCACAAGCGGCGGAGCAUGCGGAUUAAUUCGAUGCAACGCGAAGAACCUUACCAAGGCUUGACAUACACCAGAACGGGCCAGAAAUGGUCAACUCUUUGGACACUGGUGAACAGGUGGGGGCAUGGUUGUCGUCAGCUCGUGUCGUGAGAAGGUUGGGGUUAAGUCCCGCAACGAGCGCAACCCUCGUUCUAUGUU